AACGCGAAGAACCUUACCACCUUUUGACAUGCCUGGACCGCCGGAGAGAUCCGGUUUUCCCUUCGGGGACUAGGACACAGGUGCUGCAUGGCUGUCGUCAGCUCGUGUCGUGAGAUGUUGGGUUAAGUCCCGCAACGAGCGCAACCCUCGCCUUUAGUUGCCAUCAUUAAGUUGGGCACUCUAAAGGGACCGCCGGUGGUAAGCCGGAGGAAGGUGGGGAUGACGUCAAGUCCUCAUGGCCCUUACAGGGUGGGCUACACACGUGCUACAAUGGCGACUACAGAGGGCUGCAACCCCGCGAGGGUGAGCCAAAUCGGAAAAAGCCGGCCUCAGUUCGGAUUGGAGUCUGCAACUCGACUCCAUGAAGCUGGAAUCGCUAGUAAUCGUGGAUCAGCAUGCCACGGUGAAUACGUUCCCGGGCCUUGUACACACCGCGCAUA
rnacentral:rRNA from 1 species